CGUCGUCGUCGUCGUCGUUGCUGCUGGUAGCUUUCGUUCCGUUCCCCGGUGGAAGUCAUCGUCAGUCGUCGCUAUCACGGGCACCGUAGCGUUAGGUCGCAGUUUACGAGGCGGCCCUCCACGCGACUCGCGCGCGCAUCUCUCGCGCUGUCACGCGACUCGUCGCGAGCCGUGUCAUCGCGCGCACGCUUCGUUAAAUCUACCACCGGAGCUUGAGGUCUGAAAGGAGAAUAUAGACUUAUUUGAAGCAUAAUACGCGACGUCUUUUGCUGAAGAGACAUUCCAUAAACUUGUAGUAUCGAUACAUCAAAGAGCAUGCUUCCUUGAAAUGUGAAAGAUCUUCGUAUGAAGUUUUGAUGUUUCUCAAGAACAGCGCGAAGAUUAUACUGGUAUCCGAAGAAAAUUUAAUUAAAUGGCAGAGAUCACUCGACGGCCGGCAGCUAUCGAGUUUAGCUGGUCUCCGCCUCUCUCAAGAAAAUAUAGAAUCAUCUGUUGGACAUGUGAUGGGGUUUCUUCGAGAUCGAGAAAUGUACUGGAUCAUUUAAUCGUUCGGUCGACGUAAUUUCUCAGAAUCGUCUUGCAUUAACUGUACAAACAUUAUAUCUUCUUAUUUCUCUAAACGAGCGGUUGUCACGAAUAAAAGUACUUUUCGCAGCGAGAACGGACAUGAAUAUUUCUUAGUAUUCUGAAUACACGAGAUAAAUCUAUCUUCUGAAACGGAAACAAUUAAGUGAAGAAAUAAAUCAGAAAUAUUGACAGUAAAAAAAGUUGAAAAGAAUUUUUUAAGCAAUGGUUGAGGUAAAUUGAUGAUUUAACUGAAGCUAAUUUAUUAAUUUUAUCGGAAAA